rnacentral:rRNA from 1 species
AUUGAACGCUGGCGGCAGGCUUAACACAUGCAAGUCGAGCGGAGAUGAGGUGCUUGCACCUUAUCUUAGCGGCGGACGGGUGAGUAAUGCUUAGGAAUCUGCCUAUUAGUGGGGGACAACAUUCCGAAAGGAAUGCUAAUACCGCAUACGCCCUACGGGGGAAAGCAGGGGAUCUUCGGACCUUGCGCUAAUAGAUGAGCCUAAGUCGGAUUAGCUAGUUGGUGGGGUAAAGGCCUACCAAGGCGACGAUCUGUAGCGGGUCUGAGAGGAUGAUCCGCCACACUGGGACUGAGACACGGCCCAGACUCCUGCGGGAGGCAGCAGUGGGGAAUAUUGGACAAUGGGCGGAAGCCUGAUCCAGCCAUGCCGCGUGUGUGAAGAAGGCCUUUUGGUUGUAAAGCACUUUAAGCGAGGAGGAGGCUACUUAGAUUAAUACUCUAGGAUAGUGGACGUUACUCGCAGAAUAAGCACCGGCUAACUCUGUGCCAGCCGCCGCAGUAAUAC